rnacentral:rRNA from 1 species
GAGACAGCAGCCGCCACGGGAAUACGUAGGUGGCAAGCGUUGUCCGGAAUUAUUGGGCGUAAGGCGCGCGCAGGCGGAUUGGUCAGUCUGUCUUAAAAGUUCGGGGCUUAACCCCGUGAUGGGAUGGAAACUGCCAAUCUAGAGUAUCGGAGAGGAAAGUGGAAUUCCUAGUGUAGCGGUGAAAUGCGUAGAUAUUAGGAAGAACACCAGUGGCGAAGGCGACUUUCUGGACGAAAACUGACGCUGAGGCGCGAAAGCCAGGGGAGCGAACGGGAUUAGAUACCCCAGUAGUCCCUGUCUCUUAUACA